AUGAACGCUGGCGGCGUGCCUAACACAUGCAAGUCGAACGGAGAUUAGACGCUGACGAGACUUCGGUCAAAUCUGUUUAAUCUUAGUGGCGGACGGGUGAGUAACGCGUGGGCAACCUGCCUCAUACUGGGGGGAUAGCAGUUGGAAACGACUGAUAAUACCGCAUAAGCGCACGAGAUCGCAUGAUCUAGUGUGAAAAACUCCGGUGGUAUGAGAUGGGCCCGCGUCAGAUUAGCUAGUUGGUAAGGUAACGGCUUACCAAGGCGACGAUCUGUAGCCGGACUGAGAGGUCGGACGGCCACAUUGGGACUGAGACACGGCCCAAACUCCUACGGGAGGCAGCAGUGGGGGAUAUUGCACAAUGGAGGAAACUCUGAUGCAGCGACGCCGCGUGAGUGAAGAAGUAUUUCGGUAUGUAAAGCUCUAUCAGCAGGGAAGAAGGGCUCGUAAGAGAGAUGACGGUACCUGACUAAGAAGCCCCGGCUAACUACGUGCCAGCCGCUGC
rnacentral:rRNA from 1 species